GACGAACGCUGGCGGCGUGCUUAACACAUGCAAGUCGAACGGACAGGCCCUGCUUUCACUGUUCUCGCGUGGCGAACGGGUGAGUAACUCACAGGUGGUCUGCCCUCCACUUCGGCUUAAGCUUCUUCAACUGAGUCUAGUACCUGCUAGAAACUAUCUUUAGUGGGGUGGUUGGAAAGUUUUUUCGGUGUAUGAUGUGCUUGCGAGCUAUCAGCUUGUUGGUGGGGUAAUGGCGUAACAAGGCGGCGACGGGUAGCCGGCAUGAGAGGGUGUACGGCCACACUGGGAUUGAGAGAGAGCCCGGAGUCCGACGGGAGGCAGCAGGGGGGAAUAUCGGACAAUGCGAGCAAGCCUGAUGCAGCGAGGCCGCGUGGGGGAUGAAGGCCGUCGGGUUGUAAACUCCUAUGGCUAGGGACGAAGGUUUGUUGUGACGGUACCUAGAUAAGAAGCACCGGCUAACUACGUG
rnacentral:rRNA from 1 species